CGAGUGGCGGACGGGUGAGUAAUGUCUGGGAAACUGCCCGAUGAGGGGGAGUAACUACUGGAAACGGUAGCUAAUACCGCAUAACGUCGCAAGACCAAAGAGGGGGACCUUCGGGCCUCUUGCCAUCGGAUGUGCCCAGAUGGGAUUAGCUAGUAGGUGGGGUAACGGCUCACCUAGGCGACGAUCCCUAGCUGGUCUGAGAGGAUGACCAGCCACACUGGAACUGAGACACGGUCCAG
rnacentral:rRNA from 1 species